rnacentral:rRNA from 1 species
CGUCGCGUGCAGCUUGCAUGCCUGCAGGUCGACGAUUUUCUGGUUGAUCCCGCCGGACCCUACUGCUAUCGGGUGGAGACUAAACCAUGCGAGUUAAGCGUCUCCUAGCCAUGUUGGAGACGCAGCGUACGGCUCAGUAGCACGUAGUUAAUCUGCCCUUGGGACGGGGAUAACCCUGGGAAACUGGGACUAAUACCUGAUAGGUGCAGAGGCCUGGAAUGGUUCUGCACUGAAAAGGCUUCAAGAACAUGCUUUUGGAGUUGCCCAAGGAUGAGACUGCGGCCGAUCAGGUUGUUGGUGGGGUAACGGCCCACCAAGCCUAUAACCGGUACGGGCUCUGAGAGGAGGGGCCCGGAGAUGGGAACUGAGACAAGGUCCCAGGUCCUACGGGGCGCAGCAGGUGCGAAAACUCCACAAUGCGCGAAUGCGUGAUGGGGUUAACCCGAGUGCCAUCCGAUGAGGAUGGCUUUUCCUCAGUUUAAGGAGCUGGGGGAAUAAAGGGGGGGCAAGUCUGGUGUCAGCCGCCGCGGUAAUACCAGCCCCCUGAGUGGUAGGGACGAUUAUUUGGCCUAAAGCGUCCGUAGCCGGCUUAGCAAGUCUUUCGUUAAAUCCGACGAUUUAAUCGCCGGGCCGCGGAAGGUACUACUAGGCUUGAGGACGGGAGAGGUUGACGGUAGUCCCAGGGUAGGGGUGAAAUCCUAUAAUCCUGGGAGGACCACCAGUGGCGAAGGCGGUCGACUAGAACGUGCCUGACGGUGAUGGACGAAAGCUGGGGGAGCGAACCGGAUUAGACACCCGGGUAGUCCCAGCUGUAAACGAUGCGGGCUAGGUGUUGGGGUAGCUACGAGCUACUCCAGUGCCGCAGAGAAGUCGUUAAGCCCGCCGCCUGGGAAGUACGGCCGCAAGGCUGAAACUUAAAGGAAUUGGCGGGGGAGCACCACAAGGGGUGAAGUC